AACGAACGCUGGCGGCAUGCCUAACACAUGCAAGUCGAACGAGACCUUCGGUUCUAGUGGCGCACGGGUGCGUAACGCGUGGGAACCUGCCCUUAUGUUCGGAAUAACUCCCCGAAAGGGGUGCUAAUACCGGAUAAUGUCUUCGGCCCAAAGAUUUAUCGCCUUUGGAUGGGCCCGCGUUGGAUUAGCUAGUUGGUAGGGUAAAAGCCUACCCAGGCGACGAUCCAUAGCUGGUCUGAGAGGAUGAUCAGCCACACUGGGACUGAGACACGGCCCAGACUCCUACGGGAGGCAGCAGUGGGGAAUAUUGGACAAUGGGCGAAAGCCUGAUCAAGCAAUGCCGCGUGAGUGAAGAAGGCCUUAGGGUUGUAAAGCUCUUUUACCCGGGAUGAUAAUGACAGUACCGGGAGAAUAAGCUCCGGCUAACUCCGUG
rnacentral:rRNA from 1 species